GUAUGUAACCGCUUCCGUUAGGAUCGAAAUACGUCGCGAAAUAUUUUGUGGUUUGAUUUACGCUACCGCCGGGAUUACCGCAGUAUAGAUAGGCAUAGCGUAUAGCUCACGUUUCAGUUCUUCAGAAGAUCCCGCGAGAUCAAGAUCUGUUAGUGAAAACUAGAAGACAAGUUAGAGCGAAAAUCUCGAUAGAAAUCAAGACCCGCGAACGUUGUUGACCGCUUUGAUUCGAUAAAUGCCCUGAGGCCACAAGAAUAGGAGUACGUAGGAACAAUAAAGGAAAGAAUCGUAUAUCCAUA